AUCGCUUCUCGGCCUUUUGGCUAAGAUCAAGUGUAGUAUCAAGGUCCUUUUUUCUAAAAGGGAAGGAGAACCAUAUAUUGGAAUUCCCAUGGUAUUACUUUUUAAGAGCUACCCCCG
ensembl:snRNA U2 U2 spliceosomal RNA